UGGGAAGGAUCAUUACCGAUCAAGUUCUAUAAAACUUAGGACUCACCGCGAACCGUAUGGACUGUUGGGGGUCGCCUGUAAGGCGUUAAACGACUGGGUCCGCGACCUGACGGUCCGUUCUCACGGCCCCCACGUUUAUUCCAUUUUUUUCAAACACACCUUCCAUGCAGAAACAAACUUUGUCUCGUCUCCGACGAACAAGGUUGUAAAAACAAAAGUUGACAUAACUUUUAACGGUGGAUCUCUUGGCUCGUGCAUCGAUGAAGAACGCAGCCAGGUGCGAUAAGUAGUGUGAAUUGCAGAAUUCAGUGAAUCAUCGAAUCUUUGAACGCAAAUGGCGCUCUUGGGUUUUCCCAGGAGCACGUCUGUCUGAGUGUCGGUUUCCAAAAAACCUCGCACGCCAUGCGUGCGGUCUUGAGGCGUCGCGGCCGGAACCCUGUUCAGGCCUCGUCCCUUGAAAUGCAGCGCGACCGAUCUGGGCGGCCGUCGCCGACGCCACUUCGGGAAGGCCAAAAGCUCUGCUUGCCCUUUCCCGAGGCGUGGGCCGGUGCCCGAUCGUCGGGUCGCGGUUCGGCUGGGCGCGAGUCCAACACUCCAUUCUUGACCUCAGAUCAGGCGAGAUUACCCGCUGAAUUUAAGCAUAUUAAUAAGCGGAGGAAAAG
rnacentral:rRNA from 1 species